rnacentral:rRNA from 1 species
UAGGGAAUCUUCGGCAAUGGGGGCAACCCUGACCGAGCAACGCCGCGUGAGUGAAGAAGGUUUUCGGAUCGUAAAGCUCUGUUGUAAGUCAAGAACGAGUGUGAGAGUGGAAAGUUCACACUGUGACGGUAGCUUACCAGAAAGGGACGGCUAACUACGUGCCAGCAGCCGCGGUAAUACGUAGGUCCCGAGCGUUGUCCGGAUUUAUUGGGCGUAAAGCGAGCGCAGGCGGUUUGAUAAGUCUGAAGUUAAAGGCUGUGGCUCAACCAUAGUUCGCUUUGGAAACUGUCAAACUUGAGUGCAGAAGGGGAGAGUGGAAUUCCAUGUGUAGCGGUGAAAUGCGUAGAUAUAUGGAGGAACACCGGUGGCGAAAGCGGCUCUCCGGUCUGUAACUGACGCUGAGGCUCGAAAGCGUGGGGAGCGAACAGGAUUAGAUACCCUGGUAGUCCACGCCGUAAACGAUGAGUGCUAGGUGUUGGAUCCUUUCCGGGAUUCAGUGCCGCAGCUAACGCAUUAAGCACUCCGCCUGGGGAGUACGACCGCAAGGUUG